UACAGAGGUCUCAAGCGUUGUUCGGAUUCAUUGGGCGUAAAGGGUGCGUAGGCGGCGCGGUAAGUCGGGUGUGAAAUUUCGAGGCUUAACUUCGAAACUGCAUUCGAUACUGCCGUGCUCGAGGACUGGAGAGGAGACUGGAAUUUACGGUGUAGCGGUGAAAUGCGUAGAGAUCAUGAGGAAGACCAGUGGCGAAGGCGGGUCUCUGGACAGUUCCUGACACUGAGGCACGAAGGCCAGGGGAGCAAACGGG
rnacentral:rRNA from 1 species